AGAGAGAGACAUGCGCGCAUAUCAAUAAGCGGAGGAAAAGAAACUAACAAGGAUUCCCCUAGUAACGGCGAGUGAAGCGGGAAGAGCUCAAAUUUGAAAUCUUAAAGGGUUUCCCUUUACGAAUUGUAGUUUAAAGAAGUGUUUUCUGUUGAGGUUUUGGUAAAAGUUCUUUGGAAUAGGACAUCAUAGAGGGUGAGAAUCCCGUAUUUGACCUUUACUUUCAACUUUGUGAUACACUUUCAAAGAGUCGGAUUGUUUGGGAAUGCAGUCCAAAAUGGGUGGUAAAUUUCAUCUAAAGCUAAAUAUUGGCGAGAGACCGAUAGCGAACAAGUACCGUGAGGGAAAGAUGAAAAGAACUUUGAAAAGAGAGUUAAACAGUACGUGAAAUUGUCAAAAGGGAAGCGUUUGACACCAGUGUUGUUUUUCUGAAAAUCAAUUAAAGAACUGUUUAUGCUAAGUUGUUUAGACUUUAUCAGCUAACUGUUUAGUUUUGAGCUUUUCUUUAAUGCACUUUUCAGCUAACAAGUCAACAUCAAUUUCUUUUGCUGUAAAAAAGCUUGAGGAAGGUGGCUUGAGAUUCGUCUUAAGUGUUUAUAGCCUCUUGCCUAUGCAGUCGGAGAGAUUGAGGUCUGCAGCGUAGAUCCCUUCGGGGCUAAAUGCAUUUGUGCUAAGUUAUAGCAUUUUAUAGACAACUUGUUGACUAUGAUUUGUCUUGUAGCUUACUCGCUUAUGUUAUUUUACCUACGCUUAGGAUGUUGAGCGCAUGUCUCUCUCU
rnacentral:rRNA from 1 species